UCAUGCGCAGAAACUUCCUCCUCUGGACGCAGCGCGGGCGAAAAAGGCACACGGGGAAAGUCAACGUCUCGUACGCAUGCGCGCACCGGGGAACAAGUCGCCUUACCUGCAGGAUGAGCUGCAGCGUCUCGCCGAAGAAAGAUGAUGCACUAGCUGUCCAAAGUCGGCACCCAGGGUGGACCACUCAUCUGUGCAUCAGUUGGGGAAGUCUGCGCUGCUGACCUGUCUCCACUCAAGAUGAUCUCCUGCUGGCCCCACUAUGGACUAGACUCUCACUAUUAUGUUAGAUCCACUAUGGACUGGACUCUCACAAUGUUAUGCAAGACCCACUUGACAUCCAUUGCACCGGUCGCCCAGGGGGGCCCACAUCCGCGGUCCCCUCCAAGGUUUCUCAUUGUAUCCCAUUGGGUUGAGGUUUUCUUGCCCUGAUGUGGGAUCUGAGCAGAGUAGGUCGUUGUGGUUUGUGCAGCCCUUUGAGACACUCGUGAUUUAGGGCUAAUAAAUAAACUUCGAUUGAUUAAUCCCGCGCCCCCCAAAAGGGUCGCUCUCAGCCAUGUUUCUGUCACACAGACGAAGAAGUCAAGUCCGCGGGAAGUGAAGAAAUCCUUCAGGAUAAACGUUUUGUUUGUCAAAGAUCUUGCGUUCACAAGACCGAACCUGGCGGGGGCCAGCACGUCCAACGGCGCAGCUAAUCCAGGUGGGGCCCGACACACAGCCCGCAGGUGGUGGGAGAGAGGAGCCACGAGGCGGGAAAGGAAGGCAGGAAUCCGGCCAUCUGAAAAAUUUGACUGGGACGUCGAAAAACCAACAUCGAAGUUGAUCAUAUCAGUGGGAGAGGGGCAAAGAUCCAACAGUGUUUGGCCGUCAUACACAAGCAGUGAGCUGACAGAGACAAAAAUAGACGCAAACAACACAAAAACGGACAGAGCUGACAGCGAGAGACGGCAGGGCAAAGCACAUACUGGCGCCAUCUUCUGGAAACUCGAAAGUGACGUUACUCAAAUAGUGAAAGUACCGUGUUUGUCUUCCAGCCGUGCAUAGCGUUUUGAAUCGUAUGGCUUCUUCAUUCAUCACUCCAAGCAAUGCGUGUAAGUUUAACAAUAUAACUAAAACAGUAUAUAAUUACUAAACUGUGCCAUGUGUGAUGUCUGUGGUAGUUUUUUUUAUGCAUCAUUAGUAUGAGCUGAUAUGGUAACACGUUUACGAGUGUGUGUUAGUAUUAUUAACUUACAAUGUCCUUAUUUUUUAUAUUGUUUCAAUUUCACAAAUUUCUCAGUAAAUUCACCAAAAUGUCACCAUGGAGUUAUUAAGUCUGUUGGGGUGAUUGGAGAGCUAGCUUUCGCAUCUAAAGGGUCAAUGACAAUGACUUCUGUUUUGUUUGAUCAACCGUUUUACUGCCAUCUAUACUUUAUAUGAUAUUCUUAUCAGUAGAAAAAACAAUAUCAGCCAGCCCAUAUUAUUGAACUUACCUACUGGUAAUUUUAAAGUAUAGAAACAUUGGAUUUUUAUCAUACCAGCCUUAGAGAAGAUCUACUGUUUUUUGAAAUGUAAGAGGUGUCCUCAAUUUUGUGUCUGAUGCACUCACUCACUUCUCAAGUAAAGCCAACGCUGUGGCUGGGUUCACUCUGAGGUACUUGGAGGUCGGCUGGCCAUAGUCCGCGAGAUAUGUUGACCAGUCCCAUACCAUGAACAGGUCCAGGAGCUACAAGUCCCAAACAUAAACACACAGACAAAACAGAACAGAACAAACUGUAAAUAAAAAACUUCUCCUAAAAGAACUUUGAAAAAGGAAAAUGGGACGAGAUAAAGUUACUAGUAGCAUGUGUAAAUGUAAAUGGUUUAAGUUUAAAUUUAUUUCGAACAUGUAUAACGUUUCAAUAUGAUAAAUCCCAUAUUGUACAUAUUUUCACUUGUUUUAUUCCUUACAACAUGUCCGAAAAGGAGUAGGAAGAAGCAAAGCUUAAUCAAGCCUACCCCCUUUCUACUUCACAGCAAUUACUAACACAUAUGUUGACUUCCUGUUCUCAGUUUAUACACAAUUUACAUCAAUGAUGCAAUACAACAGACGUAUUGUUUGUUACUAUGUGCCCUGUGAUUGUCUGGUAAACAUGCGAAGCAAACCUAUGACAGUUUGAUGGUCAACAGUACUGAGCACUGUCUGCUGCCAAACUCCACCCACCACAUGUAGUGAAAACUCCUCAUUGCUAUAAUUCACCUGUUUAACGAACAAUUUGUAAAAGUGAUACAAAAAGUUACCUCUGACUAGUAGGCUUAGGAAUUAAAUCAAAUUUUAGGGUGCUUGUUGUCGCCGAAAGGGGGCACAAAAAUUAGCUGAUUUAUUCAAGUUUUUAUUUGAGAUUUGUGAGCGUGUCUCAAAGACUCCUUCUACAUCACAAGGCACAGACAUCUGUCUAGUAUUUCUGAUUCUAAGUUGGGAUCAUUUAAGUAGAUUCUGUAAGAGGGCUUCCUUAAAGUACGAACCCUGGAAUUCUCCCAAAAUAACAGGCUUCCAUUUCUGCUUCAGGGAUCUUCACAUAGUGGACAAGGACACUGCAUUUCACAGUGAUCAGUGAAACUGGUGGGAAGUAUUUAUUUGUGAUGUUUUAAAGAAGCGCUAACAAUUCUUUUUGGGUUCUCAACAGUGUAUUUUGUUAGGGGUGUUUUGUUAAUACUAUUAAUAAUAGAGUGGAUUAUACAAUGUGGUUAAUUUCAAAAUAGAAAAAGUGGUUCACUGUAAACUUCCCAGUCCAAUAUAUGCUUUUAUGUCACCAAAAGUCGCCAAUAAAACAAAAAAAGUUGCAAGAGUUGUCGCUUCUUGCUUUUUUUUUUAAAGAUCAACGCUCAGUUCAUUUCCAGUAAGUAAAUAAAAACAAUACAAUUUUUAAAUAAACAUAAAUAUGAUACACUAUAUUAUGAUUUACAAGGUUUCCAUUUAGUGAUGUGAAACAAUGCACAAAAGUACAGUGUGAAUGAUUAAUUUUAUAGUUAGUAAAGUUCCUUAUUGGCUGAAGUACACCUUUGAUAGUUCCUCCUUGUAGCUGAAAAAUGCCAGCUCAGUGCUUUCGUCUUAUCCAUAGUACUUAGUCUCUUUACAUCGCGGCUCUCCAAACUUUUACUACUAAAGGCUGCAACCUGAAUGAGGGGUUAUUACUAUCAGCAUUUCAGCUUUUCUCGUUAAAUUGUACCAUUUUUUAAAAUGUUUUCCCAUUUUUUAAAAUCUGCCACAGCCCAAUCAAAAUGAGCCAAGGUUCGCAAAUAGCCCCUGAUCCAUAAUUUGAACACUCCUGGUUUAUGUAUUUCAUAUGGGUAGUGUUACCAGGCCCUGUCACAUUAACAUUGACACAUUAACAUGAGUUGUGGCUGAUAGUAGCUCUUGAAAAAAUGUGGUCACCGUGUGUUGUUACUGUGUGUUACUAAAGUUAUCGUGAGCGCAUCGGCGGUGGUUUCUCUUAUUGACCACGCGAGGCAUUACAGUACAGUACAUCGCACUUCCACACGAGCUGGUGUCUGUUAGACAGAUAGACUUGGCCACACUUUAGAAUGCAUCUGUUCUUCAAUAUAUUAGUAUGUUGAAAAUACAAUGAUGUGCAUAUAUUACCUUUUAAAUCAGCUUCCACUUUUACGGAGACCAGAAAACCUCAAGGCUUUUUUUAA